GAGGAUGGCAAGUUCAAAACCAGCCUCAUCAACUUAGUGAGGUCCUAAGCAACUCAAUGAGACCCUGUCUCUAAAUAAAUAUUUUAAAAGGGCUGGAGAUAUGACUCAGUGGUUAAGUGCCCCUGCAUUCAAUCACCUGUACCAAAAAAAAACAAAUUAAAAUAAUAAGCACAUAAAUAAAUACCUAUCUCUCCAGUUAAUUAAAAAGUAUUUGUAGGUUAUCUCUUUUGUAGUGCUGGAGAUUGAAAUCAGGGUCUUCUGAACACUAAAAAAGCACUAUAUUGAGUAGCAUCUCUAUAUUGUUAUGGGUUCUUACUAUUUUUAAAACUAAAAUUAUCCAGGCACACCAGCCAGUGAACAGGACAUCAAAAGAUCUGGAGUCAAAAACAUGUGAUGCCAGUUACAGUGGUACAUACCUGCAAUCCCAACAAUUCUGAACAUUGAGGCAAAGGGAUCACAAGGCCAGACUGGGCAAACUAACAAGACCUUGCCUCAAAAUAAAAAUAUUUAAAAGGUCUGGGGUUUGCCUAACGUGGUGGCACACACUUGCAAUCCCAGCAGCUUGGGAGGCUGAGACAGUAGGAUCUCGAGUUCAAAGCCAGCCUCAGCAACAGCAAGANGGA
rnacentral:lncRNA from 1 species